rnacentral:rRNA from 1 species
UGGGGAAUUUUGGACAAUGGGCGAAAGCCUGAUCCAGCAAUGCCGCGUGUGUGAAGAAGGCCUUCGGGUUGUAAAGCACUUUUGUCCGGAAAGAAAUCCUUGGCUCUAAUACAGUCGGGGGAUGACGGUACCGGAAGAAUAAGCACCGGCUAACUACGUGCCAGCAGCCGCGGUAAUACGUAGGGUGCAAGCGUUAAUCGGAAUUACUGGGCGUAAAGCGUGCGCAGGCGGUUUGCUAAGACCGAUGUGAAAUCCCCGGGCUCAACCUGGGAACUGCAUUGGUGACUGGCGGGCUAGAGUAUGGCAGAGGGGGGUAGAAUUCCACGUGUAGCAGUGAAAUGCGUAGAGAUGUGGAGGAAUACCGAUGGCGAAGGCAGCCCCCUGGGCCAAUACUGACGCUCAUGCACGAAAGCGUGGGGAGCAAACAGGAUUAGAUACCCUGGUAGUCCACGCCCUAAACGAUGUCAACUAGUUGUUGGGGAUUCAUUUCCUUAGUAACGUAGCUAACGCGUGAAGUUGACCGCCUGGGGAGUACGGUCGCAAGAUUAAAACUCAAAUGAAUUGACGGGGUCAUAGCUG